rnacentral:tRNA from 1 species
GGGCCCAUAGUCUAGCUUGGUUAGGACGCUACCCUCACACGGUAGUGAUCGCGGGUUCAAGUCCCGCUGGGCCCA